GCUACAGAGCUUAACACAUAGCAAGUCGAGGGGCAUCAAGAAGAAAGCUUAGCUUUCUUUGCUGGCGACCGGCGCACGGGAGAGUAACACGUAUCCAACCAGCCCUUUACUCGGGGAUAGCCUUUCGAAAGAAAGAUUAAUACCCGAUAGCAUAAAGAUUCCGCAAGGUUUCAUUAUUAAAGGAUUCCGGUAAAGGAUGGGGAUGCGUUCCAUUAGGUUGUUGGUGAGGUAACGGCCCACCAAGCCUUCAAUGGAUAGGGGUUCUGAGAGGAAGGUCCCCCACAUUGGAACUGAGACACGGUCCAAACUCCUACGGGAGGCAGCAGUGAGGAAUAUUGGUCAAUGGGCGCUAGCCUGAACCAGCCAAGUAGCGUGAAGGAUGAAGGCUCUAUGGGUCGUAAACUUCUUUUAUAUAAGAAUAAAGUGCAGUAUGUAUACUGUUUUGUAUGUAUUAUAUGAAUAAGGAUCGGCUAACUCCGUGCCAGCAGCCGCGGUAAUACGGAGGAUCCGAGCGUUAUCCGGAUUUAUUGGGUUUAAAGGGAGCGUAGGUGGACUGGCAAGUCAGUUGUGAAAGUUUGCGGCUCAACCGUAAAAUUGCAGUUGAUACUGUCAGUCUUGAGUACAGUAGAGGAGGGCGGAAUUCAUGGUGUAGCGGUGAAAUGCUUAGAUAUCACGAAGAACUCCGAUUGCGAAGGCAGCUCACUGGACUGCAACUGACACUGAUGCUCGAAAGUGUGGGUAUCAAACAGGAUUAGAUACCCUGGUAGUCCACACAGUAAACGAUGAAUACUCGCUGUUUGCGAUAUACAGUAAGCGGCCAAGCGAAAGCAUUAAGUAUUCCACCCGGGGAGUACGCCGGCAACGGUGAAACUCAAAGGAAUUGACGGGGGCCCGCACAAGCGGAGGAACAUGUGGUUUAAUUCGAUGAUACGCGAGGAACCUUACCCGGGCUUAAAUUGCAGUGGAAUGAUGUGGAAACAUGUCAGUGAGCAAUCACCGCUGUGAAGGUGCUGCAUGGUUGUCGUCAGCUCGUGCCGUGAGGUGUCGGCUUAAGUGCCAUAACGAGCGCAACCCUUAUCUUUAGUUACUAACAGGUUAUGCUGAGGACUCUAGAGAGACUGCCGUCGUAAGAUGUGAGGAAGGUGGGGAUGACGUCAAAUCAGCACGGCCCUUACGUCCGGGGCUACACACGUGUUACAAUGGGGGGUACAGAAGGCAGCUAGCGGGUGACCGUAUGCUAAUCCCAAAAUCCUCUCUCAGUUCGGAUCGAAGUCUGCAACCCGACUUCGUGAAGCUGGAUUCGCUAGUAAUCGCGCAUCAGCCACGGCGCGGUGAAUACGUUCCCGGGCCUUGUACACACCGCCCGUCAAGCCAUGGGAGCCGGGGGUACCUGAAGUACGUAACCGCAAGGAUCGUCCUAGGGUAAAACUGGUGACA
rnacentral:rRNA from 1 species